GCUAGUGUAGCUUAAAGGUAAAGCGACGGCUUGAAGCGCUGUAUAUAUGGGUUCAAUUCCCUUCAUUGGCA
rfam:Babjeviella inositovora NRRL Y-12698 unplaced genomic scaffold BABINscaffold_25, whole genome shotgun sequence.